rnacentral:rRNA from 1 species
UUAAGCAAAGAAGAGCGCAGGGUGGAUGCCUUGGCACUAAGAGCCGAAGAAAGACGUGAUAAGCUGCGAAAAGCUGCGGGGAGAUGCAAAUAAUCCUUGAUCCGCAGAUGUCUGAAUGGGGAAACCCGGUACGAAGAACUCGUAUCAUCCAUACGCCAAUCCAUAACGUAUGGAGGGGAACCCGGUGAACUGAAACAUCUAAGUAGCCGGAGGAAGAGAAAGAAACAUCGAUUUUGUUAGUAGCGGCGAGCGAAAGCGAAAGAGGCCAAACCGGAGUGCGUGCACUCCGGGGUUCGGACCGCAUUUAAGAUUCAGUGAUUCUAGCAGAAAGGUUUGGGAAAGCCUGCCGGAGAGGGUGAAAGCCCCGUAAGCGAAAGGAGAGCUGACUGAGCGGAAUCCAGAGUACAUCGAGACACGAGAAACCUUGAUGGAAAGAGCGGGGACCACCCCGUAAGCCUAAAUACUACUUAGUGACCGAUAGCGCAUAGUACUGUGAAGGAAAGGUGAAAAGGACCCCGGGAGGGGAGUGAAAGAGAACCUGAAACCCUGUGUUUACAAGCUGUGGAAGUUCUUUAAAUGAACAACCGCGUACUUUUUGUAGAACGGUCCGGCGAGUUGCGGAUACUGGCAAGGUUAAGCACUUAAGGUGCGGAGCCGAAGGGAUACCAAGUCUUAACAGGGCGUUAAGUCAGUGUACGCAGACCCGAAACCGGGUGAUCUAUCCAUGUCCAGGUUGAAGUUGUCGUAAAAGACAAUGGAGGACCGAAGCCACAUCCGUUGAAAAGGGUGGGCAUGAGGUGUGGAUAGGGGAGAAAUUCCAAUCGAACCCGGAGAUAGCUGGUUCUCCUCGAAAUAGCUUUAGGGCUAGCCUCGAUUUAGUCUUAUGGAGGUAGAGCACUGAAUUUCCGCGGGGGCGUCAAAGCUUACCAAAGAAUAUCAAACUCCGAAUGCCAUGUAGAUGAUGAUCGGGAGUCAGACUGCACGAGAUAAGUUGGGCAGUCAAAAGGGAAAGAGCCCAGACCACCGGCUAAGGUCCCAAAGUGCGUGUUAAGUGGAAAAGGAUGUGGGAAUUCGAAGACAACUAGGAUGUUGGCUCAGAAGCAGCCAUACAUUCAAAGAGUGCGUAACAGCUCACUAGUCGAGAGUUCCUGCGCCGAAAAUGUCCGGGGCUGAAACACGACACCGAAGCCGUGGACUCGCAAUGCGAGUGGUAGAGGAGCAUUCUUAAAACCGACGAAGCUGUACCGGAAGGAGCAGUGGAGGGAUAAGAAGAGAGAAUGCCGGAAUGAGUAGCGAGAGAAAGGUGGGAAUCCUUUCGGCCGAAUAUCUAAGGUUUCCAGAGUAAAGCUGAUCUGCUCUGGGUAAGUCGGGGCCUAAGCACAGGUCGCAAGACGUAAGCGAUGGAUAACAGGUUUAGAUUCCUGUACCACGCAUUAUCAGAACUGUAGGGACGCAUGUGGAAAGCACGGGCCGGGAAUGGAAAGACCGGUACAAGCGGGGUAGGUGUACAAUAGGCAAAUCCGUUGUAUAAUCCGAAGACGUGAUGUGGAGCGAAAUAAAGUAGCAAAGCGUGUGAGCCAUGUGCCGAGAAAAGCUGCUAUUGUGUAAUGCGUGCCCGUACCGUAAACCGACACAGGUGGAUGAGGAGAGAAUCCUAAGGCCGACGGAAGAAGCAUUGUUAAGGAAUUCGGCAAAAUGACCCCGUAACUUCGGGAGAAGGGGUGCCUGCGAGAGCAGGCCGCAGAGAAUAGGCUCAAGCAACUGUUUAGCAAAAACACAGGUCUAUGCGAAACCGAAAGGUGAAGUAUAUGGGCUGACGCCUGCCCGGUGCUGGAAGGUUAAGAGGAGAGGUUAGCUUCGGCGAAGCUUUGAAUUUAAGCCCCAGUAAACGGCGGCCGUAACUAUAACGGUCCUAAGGUAGCGAAAUUCCUUGUCGGGUAAGUUCCGACCCGCACGAAAGGCGUAAUGAUUUGAGCACUGUCUCGACAAUGCAUCCGGUGAAAUUGAAGUACCAGUGAAGAUGCUGGUUACCCGCGCCAGGACGGAAAG